UCAAGUUCGUUUUUAGCAAAAGGUAAAGACUUUUUAAACAGGCUUGCCCUAAAUUUAAAAAAAGAGGAUGAAGGUGUUGGCCGUCGUUGCACCAAAAACAUUAUUUUCCAGACAUCUGUUCCAGAAAAAGAGAAUGAAACAAAGGUUCAGAAUUUGAAAAGAAAACUCGACCUCUCUCUUUCUCAGAACAAAAGACUGAAAUUUAGUAGCACAGCACCAACUUCUAAAGACCAUGCAUCUGUGAAGAAUAGUGUAUUCGAUUAUUUGGAAAUCAGAUAAUUUUAAUUUUUAUACAAAUUUUUGUAAAUAAAAUAAUUUAUAUAUUUUAU